GGAUUAGGCAUGCAAGUCGAACGGACCCUUCGGGGUCAGUGGCGAACGGGUGAGGAAUAGAUGGAUAACGUACCCUGGACACGGGGAUAGCGGCGGGGCUUCGGUCCCUUUGCGAAAGUGCCGGUAAUACCCGAUGACCCCGCGUGGUCGCAUGACCGUGCGGGCAAAUGCUCCGACGGUCUGGNUCGGUCCAUCUCCUAUCAGCUUGUUGGUGAGGUAACGGCUCACCAAGGCAUCGACGGGUAGCGGGCGUGAGAGCGUGGCCCGCCACAUCGGGACUGAGACACUGCCCGGACACCUACGGGUGGCUGCAGCAACGAAUAUUCCGCAAUGGACGAAAGUCUGACGGAGCGACGCCGCGUGCAGGAAGAAUGUCCUUCGGGAUGUAAACUGCUGUCAGGGGCUAGGAAUACCGACCAGCCCCAGAGGAAGCACCGGCUAACUCCGUGCCAGCAGCCGGGUAAAUACGGUGGGUGCAAGCGUUGUUCGGAAUUACUGGGCUUAAUGCGCGUGUAGGGCGGGACGGAAGUUGUCGUGUGAUAGCCCACGGCUCAACCCGUGGACCGCUCGGCAAACUG
rnacentral:rRNA from 1 species